rnacentral:rRNA from 1 species
UACGUAGGAGGCGAGCGUUGUCCGGAAUUACUGGGCGUAAAGAGCGCGUAGGUGGCGCGAUACGACCGGUGUGAAAUCCUCCGGCUCAACUGGAGGGGGUCACUGGUAACGGUCGUGCUAUGAGUGCAGGAGAGGGAAGUGGAACUCCGGGAGUAGCGGUGAAAUGCGUAGAGACCCGGAGGAACACCAGUGGCGAAGGCGGCUUCCUGGUCUGCGACUGACGCUGUGGCGCGAAAGCUAGGGGAGCAAACGGG